rnacentral:rRNA from 1 species
GACGAACGCUGGCGGCGUGCUUAACACAUGCAAGUCGAACGGCAAGGCCCUGCUUUUGUGGGGUGCUCGAGUGGCGAACGGGUGAGUAACACGUGAGUAACCUGCCCUUGACUUUGGGAUAACUUCAGGAAACUGGGGUUAAUACCGGAUAGGAGCUCCUGCUGCAUGGUGGGGGGUGGAAAGUUUCGGCGGUUGGGGAUGGACUCGCGGCUUAUCAGCUUGUUGGUGGGGUAGUGGCUUACCAAGGCUUUGACGGGUAGCCGGCCUGAGAGGGUGACCGGCCACAUUGGGACUGAGAUACGGCCCAGACUCCUACGGGAGGCAGCAGUGGGGAAUAUUGCACAAUGGGCGGAAGCCUGAUGCAGCAACGCCGCGUGCGGGAUGACGGCCUUCGGGUUGUAAACCGCUUUCGCCUGUGACGAAGCGUGAGUGACGGUAAUGGGUAAAGAAGCACCGGCUAACUACGUG